GGGGGCGAAAGGCUUCGACCGGACGGGUAGAGAGACAGGUUGCAUAUCCAGGAUGUCGGUUGGCCUGGCUAAUCAUCCGACACAAAUUUAAUUGGCAACUACCAAUUGAAAAUGGCUGCUUAAUUAGCGGCCCGUUCCGUGAGAUCGCUCCUGCCGGUUUCAUCUGAGCGCCAAAAUGCGGGAUGGCUUUGCAAGGCCGUUUGUCCAAGCAAAGCGAGAAACUACAAACUGGCCAAGUUGAAAGUCUGUUAUUCGACGUUCAGCGAGGCGAGAACCAAAUGAAUAACUAUGUAUGUAGAUGCCUGUUUUGAAACGUUUCGGGACGCGGGUUCGAAUCCCGCCGCCUCCAGUC
rnacentral:tmRNA from 2 species